rnacentral:lncRNA from 1 species
UUUAGUUAAAAUAAUGUAUUUCGUAUGGCACCCAAUGACAAUGUCAUAAUUGUUGACUUACUUUUUUUUUUUAUAAAUAGACCAAACCAUAAUUUAUUUUUUUCAUAUGUAUAACCCCACGCUCCUAUGAAUUAAGAGAGAGAGAAACGGAGAGAGAGAAAUAAAGAGGGAAAGAGAUGUUCGCGAUCCGACCCGAACCUUCGCGAUCGGACCCGAAUUUAUCUCCAUUUUCCAGCCACCUUACCGACCAAGGAAGGUACCAAUAGAAAGCUUGAGAACUGGCCGUCAUUUCCAUUCCGUCAUUGCCGUCGAUUAUUGGCCGGAAAGCCGUUUAUUGAAGCCGCAAAAUUUGGCGGUGAAGCCGCAUUGUUUCGCCGCUGUUCCGCUAGUUUUGGGUGAGGCGACCAGUUGGAUUUUGUUCCCCACAAUCCCCUCUGUCCUUUCCGACCAUCCACUGAGCCGGGAACUGCCCUGUCCCGGCCGGUCAGCCGUUGGAAAGUUCAUGGCUUUGGGAGCUCGAUCAGCCACCGUCGCCGCGCGUCGAUCGUCACCGCCGCCACCAUCGGACUCAGCGUGGUUGGAACUCUCAGGCUAGAGCUUCCCGACGGCCUUUGGUUGACUUUCGGUCAUCGUUGACCAGUAAGGCCAUUUCGGUAAUUUCGUAUCCGAGGGCAAUUUUAUAGUUUCACACUUUGCGGGUAUUUUAGUAAUUGUAUAAAUCAAGAAUAGGCUGGUAAUUUACGAUUUUGAGAUUAACUUGGUAAAUUAUGAUUUUGGGGGUAUUCUAAUAAUGUUAGAAUUUGAGGGUAUUUUGGUAAUUUUGUUAAAUUUGAAGGCGAUUUUAUAAUUUUUGGAUUUGUGCAUAUUUUGGUAGUUUCUGAAUUGGAGAAUAAUUAGUAAUUUAUGAAAUUGAGAAUGAUUUGGUAGUUUAUAAUUUUGGAAUUUUUAGAUUAUUUAUGUGAUUUAUGAGUUUGAGGGCAUUUCGAUGAAGGUUGGGUUAUUUGAACUCAACAAACGCCUCACUAAAUCUAUUUUUGAGAUUAAUCUUUUAUGAUUAAAAUACUCUUAAAUUAAAUUACAAUUAUGGAUAUUAAAAUAUAAUAAAAAAACAGAAUUUUAAUUUUUUCAGCCCAUUUAUACAUCAACAUAAUUUUGUUAAAUCAUAAUCUUAUUUUCAUUAAAUCCUAAUUAACUAGAGGCAUGAAUUACGAGUGGCAAUCUUUUACUUUCAAUUAUCUUCCUACGGUUUGAUGCGCAUUCAAAUGGAGCUCAUCAUCGAUCAUUGAGUCAUGUGCUCUGAUUAUAAUAUUAAUCCUUAAAUUUUCUGAAAACUUUAAUUAUCAUUAAUCAAAAGCAAAUUGUAUUUUAAUUAACGGGUUAAAUUUCUUUUCUUUUCAAUUUGGCCAUUUAGUGGAGCCGAAUUAAGCUAAGCCGCAUCACCAUUCACCAAUGGUAGCUCAGCCUCUCCGCUAACAAUAGGCAUGGCUGAUUCUCAAUUAUCUGAUUAUCAUCACAAGCUCAAGUAGCACCUACGCUAACAAAUUCAUUUUGAUUUAAUUACCAUCUCCAUCGGUGUUAAAAAAAAUAAAUGAUUUCAAUGAAGAUUUAUAAAUGAAGUUAAUGGAUUUAGCGAGUUAAAAUAUUAUUAUUAUAAAAAUUGAGUUUAGUGAGUGUAUAUUAAGUAUUUAUCCGUACUAAUAUUUUAGCAUCCUAAUGAUUUCAAUUUAUCCAAUAAAUAUACAAUUGAAUCAUCUUAUAAAAUAAGUAUCUAAUCCUACUUUGAAGUAUUAAAAAAAGAAAAAAAAAGUUGAAUUGAAGACAUAUUUGAAAAUAAAAUAAAUUUUAUUAUUUAAUAAAAUUAUAAAAAUGCAAGGGGUAUAUCCAAAAGUUUCCGGGGUCUAGCCCAGGCUUGCUGUCUUAAGCAAAAAUUCGAAUCAAAUCAAAAUUAAAUUCUUUUUCUCCUCUCAUUUUUUAGAUGGGUUUCUUUGAUAGCCAAUCGAGAUCAAAAAAAGAAAUGGCAAAGGGAGAAUGAAUACAAGUAAAAAAAAAAAAAAAGAAGAAUAAGAAUAAUAAUUUAAGUGACUAGAUUUUUUCUUUCCUUGAAAUAUUGUCAUGUCGAUAAUUUUCUCUGCUAUAAUUUAUUAAUAAAAUUUAAUCGACAUAUGCGUGAAGAAGAAGUGCAAUUUUUCAUGAGAGAUUGAAAAGUGACUAACAUGAAGUUAACUUUUUUCUUCAGUUAGUAAUUUCAGUUAGUUUUAAAAACGUUAUGUUUUUUACAUCUAAAUAAAAUAUAGAUAGGAGGACAGGGGUAGAAACUCUUACAUCAAGUGAGAAUAAGUUUUUAUGUACUAUAUAUAUAUAUAUAAGAGGAGAUUAUGGUGAUAGGUAAGAUUAAAUUUAUUAACAAAAAUUUAAAAACAUCUUAUUAAUAUAAAAUUAUAAAAAAAUAAAUAAAUACUCACCUUAGAAUUUCUUAAAUACCAUGUUUCAAAAUCUCUUAUAAAGUUUAGGAAAAAAAAAUUGAAGUUGAAAAUUUACAAAUCAUUUUCCUAAUUUGAGAAGAUAUAUAAGUUUAGUGAAACUUAAUAAGUCUUUUCCUUCUUCCUUUUCCUUAACUAGUCAGGCUUUCAUUUUCCUUGACUAGUUAGGAUAUACAUCCUUAUAUAAAGAUGCUUACAUUGAGCUCCCAAAUCCCAACUUCGCAAUAGAGUUAAUAAAUUAGAAGGUAUCGAGUUCUUGGUUUUCAGUUUUUUCUUGAAUCGUCGAUCAAAAAACUUGAUUAGCUAUGAAGCAGAAGGCAAUUGACUCCGAAGAAGGAUGGGACUAUUUGGAUCGGGGAAUCACAAAAUUGAAGAGGAUUUUCGAAGGAUUGCCGGAGCCAACGUUUAAUUUGGAGGAUUACAUGAUGCUUUACACAACCGUAUACAAUAUUUAUUCUGAGUCGACUUAUCCUCUUGACAAAAAUAGCAAACAGUUGUAUAACAAUUACAAGCAAAUACUUGAAGAUUAUAUGCCAUCAAAGGUAUUGCCAUCUUUGAGAGAGAAGCACGAUGAGUAUGAUUUGUUGAAGGAGCUUUUGAAAAGCUGGGCUAAUCAUAAAUUUUUGGUUAAAUGGCUUUCACUCGUCUUCCUUCCUCUUCAAGUUGAAUUCGCUUAUAUUACUCGAAAGAAACUUCCUAAACUUAAUGCGUUUGGACUUUCUUGCUUCCGGGAUCUGGUGUUUGAUGCUAUAAAGGACAAAGUCAAGGAUGCUGUAAUUGCUUUAAUCGAUAGAGAACGCGAGGGAGAAGAGAUUGACAGAACGUUGGUGAAGAAUGUAUUGAAUUUAUUCGUUGAGAUUGACGAGGGGAAGAUGCAUUGUUACGAAAAGGAUUUUGAAGAACAUAUGCUUCAGGAUACGGGGGCUUAUUAUUCUCGCAAGGCAUCAAAUUGGAUUCUUCAGGAUUCGAGUGAAGAUUACAUGCUCAAGGUUGGUGAAUGCUUGAAGAAAGAAAGAGGGAGAGCGUCUCAUUACCUGCAACCAAGCAGCGAGCGGAAAUUGACGGACAUACUAGAACAUGAGUUGUUGGUGGUGCGUGCAAGUCAGCUUCUUGAAGAAGGAGAAUUUGGAUGCAGACAAUUGCCUAGAGGAGAUAAGGUGGAUGAUCAUUCGAUUAUCUGCUGUGACAGCGAGAAAUCGAGGAAUGAAUUAGGCAUUGGAGAAACAUUGGAGUAGGUUCUUAGAUUGUGAUGCACACCAAGAAACCCUAAAGUUCCUAGUCAAUUUCAAGUCUAUUAAUUUUAUAAUUUCUAUUCCAUUGGAUUUUUUUUUUUUCCUUGAGCACUAAUUAAUUGGCAUUGCUGCCUUAGAUAUCGUGAUGAGUAAGCAUGCCGAUGAAUAUGUUUUAUACAUUAAUUAAAAAUUUUAGACAACCCCAUAGAUAAAGAUAGACCUAAGAACUAAUUAUGAACAAAAUAGUAAUGGGUAUAAAUUGCCUUCUCAAUAAUUAUUCGUUGCAUUGUGGUUCAUACGAAAGAAUAUGAAUAAGUUAUCAUUAUUUGUUCUUCUUUUCCUUUCUAAUUUUUUUUUUAGCGACUUCUUCAAUCCUUUCUCUCCCUAUCCCCAAUUAUUUUGAGAUUUCUCUUCACCAUUCGUUAAUUUUCCUUUUCAAUAAAUUUUGAAUGUAUUUCAUGAAUCCAAUUUGGUAAGCCAAUGUGUAUAACAAAAUCUCUCACCCCACCAACCAACCAUUUUUCUUAUUUUUCUUUCUUCAUAUAAAGUUCUUGUCUAAGAAUAGAGAAUUCACUUCCAGAUCACAAGUAUAUGGGCUUGGAAGUUGUUUUCCAGCUAAAACUUUUGGGCCAACAAUCAAGGCCUAUCAAGCAAACAACUUUUGUCCUCCUGCACUUACCUCGUUUCGUUGAUAAAGAAAAUCCCUUAAGUUGAUGAAUUUGUGCUUCGUAAUCCUAAUUGUUUGAAUUCCGUCAAGCAAUGCAACAGAACACAAAAUGUCCUUUUCACCCUUAGGAUUUAAUAUAAUACAUAUUUCAUCCCUAUAUUUUAAAUAAUAGUGUAAAGUAUUCUUUCAUUAAUUUGCCAUUAGUUUAUUAUAUUUUUUUUGCAAGCUCCAUUAGCAUACUUGGUAGUUUGCAUACAAUUUUUGACAAUUUAAUUUUUUAAAAUUAAAAAUUAAUAUAAUUUUUUUAUAUUUAGGGCUAAAUUAGUAAUUUAAUUAUUUUCUUUUUAUUAAUGUCCAAGUAAAAAAAUAAUUAUAAAUGGGCAAUAUUGUUAAAGUAAGACAAAAGAAAUAAAAAGUAACAAUAUGAAUAUCAAUACUUUAACGGCAGAGAUUUAAAAAAAUACAAGGACUAAAUAAAUAUUAAUCUUAAAAUAUAGAGACUAAAUGAUCUUUUAUCCUUUACACAACCGUAUACAAUAUUUGUUCCCAGCCGGAUCGUCUUCUUGAUGAAGAUCCCAAACAGCUGUAUGACAAGUAAAAGCAAGUACUUGAAGAUUAUAUGCCAUGAAAGGCAUUGCCAUCUUUGAGAGAGAAGCACGAUGAGUAUCAUUUGUUGAGGGAGCUUUUGAAAAGCUGGGCUAAUAAUGAAAUUUUGGUUAAAUGGCUUUCACGCGUCUUCCUUCCUCUUCAGGUAGGUUAUAUUCCUCGAAGGAAACUUCCUAAACUUAAUGCGAUUUUAAAGGAAAUAAAUGAUGAAAUUAUGAAAAUAUUGUUAAUUGUUAUUAUAUCAUUGAGUAAUAAUAAGAAUCUUAAUAUUAAAGUUUUAAUUUGCGUUCUAAAGUUCAUUUUAAAUUAGUUUAGGAGGUUUAAAAGUGAUUUUAAAAAUUUAAAAAUUAAUUUUAAUAUUUCAUAAAAAAAUUAAAAUUAUUUUUUAUCAAAAUCAGUCCAUAUGAUUUUAAAUUUAAAUUUAAAUUUAGAGAAUUAAUUUUAUAUUUUAAUACAAUUUUAAUUUUAUCCUCUACCAUUAUACUUUGAGUAAUGAUACAACCACAAACUCUUGUACAAAUUUAUUUUAUACAAACUGAUGUGGCAUGAUAAGAUUGAUUGAAUUAAAAAUCACUUGGCCCACAUGAUUUGUUUUUAUUAUUUUAUAUUUUCAUUCAACCAAUGAAUUAAUGACACGUCAGUUUAUACAAAAUAAAUUUAUAUAAAAAUUUAUAGCUGUAUCAUUACUCUUAUACUUUAGUUAAAAUAAUGUGUUUCGUAUUGCACCCAAUGACAAUGUCAUUAUUGUUGACAUACUCUUUUUUUUUUAAAUAGACCAAACCAUUUUUUUUUUUUUCUGUGUAUUACCCCACGCCCCUAUGAAUUAAGAGAGAGAGAAACGAAGAGAGAGAAAGAAAGAGGGAAAGAGAUGGGAGCGAUCCGACCCGAACCUUCGCGAUCGGACCCGAAUUUAUCUCCAUUUUCCAGCCACCUUACCGACCAAGGAAGGUACCAAUAGAAAGCUUGAGAACUGGCCGUCAUUUCCAUUACGUCAUCGCCGUCGAUUAUUGGCCGGAAAGCCGUUUAUUGAAGCCGCAAAAUUUUGCGGUGAAGCCGCAUUGUUUCGCCGCUGUUCCGCCAGUUUUGGGUGAGGCGACCAGUUGGAUUUUGUUCCCCACAAUCCCCUCUGUCCUUUCCGACCAUCCACUGAGCCGGGAACUGCCCUGUCCCGGCCGGUCAGCCGUUGGAAAGUUCAUGGCUUUGGGAGCUCGAUCAGCCACCGUCGCCGCGCGUCGAUCGUCACCGCCGCCACCAUCGGACUCAGCGUGGUUGGAACUCUCAGGCUAGAGCUUCCCGACCGCAUUUGGUUGGCUUUCGGUCACCUUUGACCAGCAAGGCCAUUUCGGUAAUUUCGUAUCCGAGGGCAAUUUUAUAAUUUCAUACUUUGCGGGUAUUUUAGUAAUUGUAUAAAUUGAGAAUAGGCUGGUAAUUUACGAUUUUGAGAUUAACUUGGUAAAUUAUGAUUUUGGGGGUAUUCUAAUAAUGUUAGAAUUUGAGGGUAUUUUGGUAAUUUUGUUAAAUUUGAGGCGAUUUUAUAAUUUUUGAAUUUGUGCAUAUUUUGGUAGUUUCUGAAUUGGAGAAUAAUUAGUAAUUUAUGAAAUUGAGAAUGAUUUGGUAGUUUAUAAUUUUGGAAUUUUUAGAUUAUUUAUGUGAUUUAUGAGUUUGUGGGCAUUUCGAUGAAGGUUGUGUUAUUUGAACUCAACAAACGGCUCACUAAAUUUAUUUUUGAGAUUAAUUUUUUAUAAUUAAAAUAUUUUUAAAUUAAAUUACAAUUAUGGAUAUUAAAAUAUAAUAUAAAAAAACAGAAUUUUAAUUUUUUCAGCCCAUCUAUACAUCAACAUAAUUUUGUUAAAUCAUAAUCUUAUUUUCAUUAAAUCCUAAUUAACUAGAGGCAUGAAUUACGAGUGGCAAUCUUUUACUUUCAAUUAUCUUCCUACGGUUUGAUGCGCAUUCAAAUGGAGCUCAUCAUCGAUCAUUGAGUCAUGUGCUCUGAUUAUAAUAUUAAUCCUUAAAUUUUCUGAAAACUUUAAUUAUCAUUAAUCAAAAGCAAAUUUGAUUUUAAACAACGGGUUAAAUUUCUUUUCUUUUCAAUUUGGCCAUUUAGUGGAGCCGAAUUAAGCUAAGCCGCAUCACCAUUCACCAAUGGUAGCUCAGCCUCUCCGCUAACAAUAGGCAUGGCUGAUUCUCAAUUAUCUGAUUAUCAUCACAAGCUCAAGUAGCACCUACGCUAACAAAUUCAUUUUGAUUUAAUUACCAUCUCCAUCGGUGUUAAAAAAAAUAACUGAUUUCAUUGAAGAUUUAUAAAUGAAUUUAAUGGAUUUAGCGAGUAAAAAUAUUAUUAUUAUAAAAAUUGAGUUUAGUAAGUGUAUAUUAAAUAUUUAUCCGUACUAAUAUUUUAGCAUCCUAAUGAUUUCAAUUUAUCCAAUAAAUAUACAAUUGAAUCAUCUUAUAAAAUAAGUAUCUAAUCCUACUUUGAAGUAUUAAAAAAAGAAAAAAAAAGUUGAAUUGAGGACAUAUUUUAAAAUAAAAUAAAAUUUAUUAUUUAAUAAAAUUUUAAAAAUGCAAGGGGUAUAUCCAAAAGUUUCCGGGGUCUAGCCCAGGCUUGCUGUCUUAAGCAAAAAUUCGAAUCAAAUCAAAAUUAAAUUCUUUUUCUCCUCUCAUUUUAUAGCUAAAUUUCGAUAAUUGGAAAACUAGACUAACGACACAAAGUCUUGAAAACAAAAUGGUUUGAUGGGUUUCUUUGAUAGCCAAUCGAGAUCAAAAAAGAAAUGGCAAAGGGAGAAUGAAUACAAGUAAAAAAAAAAAAGAAGAAUAAGAAUAAUAAUUUAAGUGACUAGAUUUUUUCUUUCCUUGAAAUAUUGUCAUGUCGAUAAUUUUCUCUGCUAUAAUUUAUUAAUAAAAUUUAAUCGACAUAUGCGUGAAGAAGAAGUGCAGUUUUUCAUGAGAGAUUGAAAAGUGACUAACAUGAAGUUAACUUUUUUCUUCAGUUAGUAAUUUCAGUUAGUUUUAAAAACGUUAUGUUUUUGACAUCUAAAUAAAAUAUAGAUAGGAGGACAGGAGUAGAAACUCUUACAUCAAGUGAGAAUAAGUUUUUAUGUACUAUAUAUAUAUAAGAGAGAUUAUGGUGAUAGGUAAGAUUAAAUUUAUUAACAAAAAUUUAAAAACAUCUUAUUAAUAUAAAAUUAUAAAAAAAUUAAAUACUCACCUUAGAAUUUCUUAAAUACCAUGUUUCAAAAUCUCUUACAAAGUUAAGAAAAAAAAAAUUGAAGUUGAAAAUUUACAAAUCUUUUUCCUAAUUUGAGAAGAUAUAUAAGUUUAGUGAAACUUAAUAAGUCUUUUCCUUGACUAAUUAGGCUUUCCUUUUCCUUAACUAGUUAGGAUAUACAUCCUUAUAUAAAGACGCUUACAUUAAGCUCUCAAAUCCCAACUUCGCAAUAGAGUUAAUAAAUUGGAAGGAAUCGAGUUCUUGGUUUUCAGUUUUUUCUUGAAUCGUCGAUCGAAAAACUUGAUUAGCAAUGAAGCGCAAGGCAUGUGACUCCGAAGAAGGAUGGGACUAUUUGGAGCGGGGAAUCACAAAAUUGAAGAGGAUUUUCGAAGGAUUGCCAGAGCCAGCGUUUAAUUUGGAGGAUUACAUGAUGCUUUACACAACCGUAUACAAUAUUAACUCCCAGCGGACUUAUCCUCUUGACAAAAAUAGCAAACAAUUGUAUAACAAUUACAAGCAAGUACUUGAAGAUUAUAUGCCAUCAAAGGUAUUGCCAUCUUUGAGAGAGAAGCACGAUGAGUAUGAUUUGUUGAGGGAGCUUUUGAAAAGCUGGGCUAAUCAUAAAUUUUUGGUUAAAUGGCUUUCACUCGUCUUCCUUCCUCUUCAAGGUGAAGGCGCUUAUAUUACUCGAAAGAAACUUCCUAAACUUAAUGCGUUUGGACUUUCUUGCUUCCGGGAUCUGGUGUUUGAAGCUAUAAAGGACAAAGUCAAGGAUGCUGUAAUUGCUUUAAUCGAUAGAGAACGCGAGGGAGAAGAGAUUGACAGAACGUUGGUGAAGAAUGUAUUGAAUUUAUUCGUUGAGAUUGACAAGGGGAAGAUGCAUUGUUACGAAAAGGAUUUUGAAGAACAUAUGCUUCAGGAUACGGGGGCUUAUUAUUCUCGCAAGGCAUCAAAUUGGAUUCUUCAGGAUUCGAGUGAAGAUUACAUGCUCAAGGUUGGUGAAUGCUUGAAGAAAGAAAGAGGGAGAGCGUCUCAUUACCUGCAACCAAGCAGCGAGCGGAAAUUGACGGACAUACUAGAACAUGAGUUGUUGGUGGUGCGUGCAAGUCAGCUUCUUGAAGAUGGAGAAUUUGGAUGCAGACAAUUGCCUAGAGGAGAUAAGGUGGAUGAUCAUUCGAUUAUCUGCUGUGACAGCGAGAAAUCGAGGAAUGAAUUAGGCAUUGGAGAAACAUUGGAGUAGGUUCUUAGGUUGUGAUGCACACUACGAAACCCUAAAGUUCCUAGUCAAUUUCAAGUCUAUUAAUUUUAUAAUUUCUAUUCCAUUGGAUUUUUUUUUCCUGAAGCACUAAUUAAUUGGCAUUGCUGCCAUAGAUAUCGUGAUGAGUACGCGUACCGAUGAAUAUGUUUUAUACAUUAAUUAAAAAUUUUAGACAACCCUAUAGAUAAAGAUAGACCUAAGAACUAAUUAUGAACAAAAUAGUAAUGGGUAGAAAUUGUCUUCUUGACAAUUAUUCGUUGCAUUGCGGUUCAUACGAAAGAACAUGAAAAAUUAUCAUUAUUUGUUCUUCUUUUCCUUUCUAAUUUUUUUUUUUAGCGACUUCUUCAAUCCUUUCUCUCGCUAUCCCCAAUUAUUUUGAGAUUUCUCUUCACCAUUCGUUAAUUUUACUUUUCAAUAAAUUUUGAAUGUAUUUCAUGAAUCCAAUUUGGUAAGCCAAUGUGUAUAACAAAAUCUCUCACCCCACCAACCAACCAUUUUUCUUAUUUUUCUUUCUGCAUAUAAAGUUCUUGUCUAAGAAUAGAGAAUUCACUUCCCAGAUCACAAGAAUAUGGGCUUGGAAGUUAUUUACCAGCUAAAACUUUUGGGCCAACAAUCAAGGCCUAUCAAGCAAACAACUUUUGUCCUCCUGCACUUACCUCGUUUCGUUGAUAAAGAAAAUCCCUUAAGUUGAUGAAUUUGUGCUUCGUAAUCCUAAUUGUUUGAAUUCCGUCAAGCAAAGCAACAGAACAGAAAAUGUCCUUUUCACCCUUAGGAUUUAAUAUGAUACAUAUUUCAUCCCUAUAUUUUAAAUAAUAGUGUAAAGUAUUGUUCCGUUAAUUUGCCAUUAGUUUAUUAUAAUUUUUUUGCAAGCUCCAUUUGCAUACUUGGUAGUUUGCAUACAAUUUUUGACAAUUUAAUUUUUAAAAAUUAAAAAUUAAUAUAAAUUUUUUAUUUUUAUUUUUAGGGCUAAAUUAGUAAUUUAAUUAUUUUCUUUUUAUUAAUGUCCAAGCAAAAAAAUUAUUAUAAAAGGACAAUAUUGUUAAAGUAAGACAAAAGAAAUAAAAAGUAACAGUGUGAAUAUCAAUACUUUAAGGGUAAAGAUUUUAAAAAAUAUAAGGAUUAAAUAAAUAUUAAUCUUAAAAUAUAGAGACUAAAUGAUCUUUUAUCUUUUACACAACCGUAUACAAUAUUUGUUCUCAGUCGGCUCGUCCUCUUGAUGAAGAUCCUAAACAGCUGUAUGACAAGUAAAAGCAAGUACUUCAAGAUUAUAUGCCAUGAAAGGCAUUGCCAUACUUGAGAGAGAAGCACGAUGAGUAUCAUUUGUUGAGGGAGCUUUUGAAAAAUUGGGCUAAUCAUGAAUUUUUGGUUAAAUGGCUUUCACGCGUCUUCCUUCCUCUUCAAUUCGGUUAUAUUCCUCGAAGGAAACUUUCUGAACUUAAUGCGAUUGUAAAGGAAAUAAAUCAUGAAAUUACGAAAAUAUUGUUAAUUGUUAUUAUAUCAUUGAGUAAUAAUAAGAAUCUUAAUAUUCAAAUUUUAAUUUGAGUUCUAAGGUUCAUUUUAAAUUAUUUUAUCAGGUUUACAAAUAAUUUUAAAAAUUUAAAAAUUAAUUUUAAUAUUUAAUAAAAAAUUAAAAUUAUUUUUUAUCAAAAUCAGCCCAGAUACUUUUAAAUUUAAAUUUAGAGAAUUAAUUUUAUAUUUUAAUACAAUAUUAAUUGUAUCCUCUACCAUUGUACUUUAGUUAAAAUAAUGUAUUUCGUAUUGCACCCAAUGACCAUGUCAUAAUUGUUGACAUACUUUUUUUUUUAAAAAUAAACCAAACCAUAAUUUUUUUUUCAUAUGUAUUACCCCACACCCCUAUGAAUUAAGAGAGAGAGAAAUGAAGAGAGAGAAAGAAAGAGGGAAAGAGAUGGGAGUGAUCCGACCCGAACCUGCGCGAUCCGACCCGAAUUUAUCUCCAUUUUCCGGCCACCUUACCGACCAAGGAAGGUGCCAGUAGAAAGCUUGAGAACUGACCGUCAUUUCCAUUCCGUCAUUGCCGUCGAUUAUUGGCCGGAAAGCCGCUUAUUGAAGCCGCAUUGUUUCACCGCUAUUUUGCCAGUUUUGGGUGAGGCCACCAGUUGGAUUUUGUUCCCCACAAUCCCCUCUGUCCUUUUCGACCAUCCACUGAACCGGGAACUGCCCUUUCCCGGCCGGUCAGCCGUUGGAAAGUUCAUGGCUUUGGGAGCUCGAUCAGCCACCGUCGCCGCGCGUCGAUCGUCACCGCCGCUACCAUCGGACUCAGCGUGGUUGGAACUCUCAGGCUAGAGCUUCCCGACCGCCUUUGGUUGACUUUGGGUCACCGUUGACCAGCAAGGCCAUUUCGGUAAUUUCGUAUUCGAGGGCAAUUUUGUAAUUUCACACUUUGCGGGUAUUUUAGUAAUUGUAUAAAUUGAGAAUAGGCUGGUAAUUUACUAUUUUGAGGUUAACUUGGUAAAUUAUGAUUUUGGGGGUAUUCUAAUAAUGUUAGAAUUUGAGGGUAUUUUGGUAAUUUUGUUAAAUUUGAAGGCGAUUUUAUAAUUUUUGAAUUUGUGCAUAUUUUGGUAAUUUCUGAAUUGGAGAAUAAUUAGUAAUUUAUGAAAUUGAGAAUGAUUUGGUAGUUUAUAAUUUUGGAAUUUUUAGAUUAUUUAUGUGAUUUAUGAGUUUGAGGGCAUUUCGAUGAAGGUGGGGCUAUUUGAACUCAACAAACGGCUCAAUAAAUCUAUUUUUGAGAUUAAUUUUUAUGAUUAAAAUAUUUUUAAAUUAAAUUACAAUUAUGAAUAUUAAAAUAUGAUAAAAAAACAGAAUUUUUAUUUUUUCAGCCCAUCUAUACAUUCAACAUAAUUUUAUUAAAUCAUAAGUUUAUUUUCAUUAAAUCCUAAUUAACUAGAGGCAUGAAUUACGAGUGGCAAUCUUUUACUUUCAAUUAUCUUCCUACGGUUUGAUGCGCAUUCAAAUGGAGCUCAUCAUCGAUCAGUGAGUCAUGUGCUCUGAUUAUAAUAUUAAUCCUUAAAAUUUCUGAUCAUUGAGUCAUGUGCUCUUAUUAUAAUAUUAAUCCUUAAAUUUUCUAAAAACUUUAUGUUAAAGUCUGAGCUUUAAACUGAUUUUCAGGAGGUCAACCGUCAUGUCGGUUUGUGGUUAUUUUGGUAUACAACAUGUCAGCUGUAAAGCAUACAAGUCUGUAUGACAGACUUGUAUCGUCAACCAAAAGCUUUUAGUAAAGCACGCACAUUUCACGUGCUUUCACUUACUCUGUACGACAUUGAAGAUUGUCGUUUUGGAGAAGAGUUCAACACGUGUCCUGAAGGCUGUUAAAUUCAGUUACUACAGGCGGAAAAAUUCUGAGUUCGUUAGCUAACAAACCCAGAUUACAGCUGGUUGACAGGGGGCCUUUGUAAUGGGCUUCAAGCUAGUAUAAAUAGUCUAAGGGACUGGGAAAUCAGGGUGUGUGUUGUUUGUAGCUUCAUCUCUAAACUUGUAACUUGUUCAUGGUUAUUGAAUCAAAGCUGUUGCUCUGUUCUUCAGUGGAUAUAGGCUGCCUCCAGCCGAACCACUUACAUUUGUUGUUCUUUGCAUACUGUUUCUGGGUGAUUCUUUUGUAUGAAUUUGAUUAAUUUAGAUCUUGAUUAGAGAGUUCAGCUAAAUCCUGGAGAAUCUUGAUUGGAAAUUAAAUCUGAUCUAGGUUCAACACUUUAAUUAUCAUUAAUCAAAAGCAAAUUUGAUUUUAAUUAACGGGUUAAAUUUAUUUUCUUUUCAAUUUGGCCAUUUAGUGGAGCCGAAUUAGGCUAAGCCGCAUCACCAUUCACCAAUGGUAGCUUAGCCUCUCCGCUAACAAUAGGCAUGGCUGAUUCUCAAUUAUCUGAUUAUCAUCACAAGCUCAAGUAGCACCUACGCUAACAAAUUCAUUUUGAUUUAAUUACUAUCUCCAUUGCUGUUAAAAAAAAUAAAUGAUUUCAAUGAAGAUUUAUAAAUGAAUAUAAUGGAUUUAGUGAGUAAAAAUAUUAUUAUUAUAAAAAUUGAGUUUAGUAAGUGUAUAUUAAGUAUUUAAGUGGUUGUAUAGAGUAAAAUUUUAAAAUUUUAAAAUUUUAAAAUUUAAUUGUAGGUUUAUUUAGUUAAUUGGUGUAAUGAGUAGUUUGGUGGGUUCAAAUAACCUGAUCUUUUCGAUAAUUUAUGAUUUUGAGGAUAUUUUGGUAAUUUAAGAUUGAAAUGAAGAUUAUUUGAAGUUAAGUUUAAAAUGUAUUUAUAUUGAGAAGUUUGGGGACAUUGGAGCUUAUGGUUAUGAUUUAAUUAUCUCUUAGUAUUUUAUUAAUUUUAAGCCGAUGAUAUUGAUAUGCUUUUGUUAUUUGAGGAUGUAAGGAGGUAAGUAAACUAGAUUUCUAAAUGAUGUGUUGUUAUGUGUUAUGUGUAAUUAUGGACAUGGGCAUAUGUAUGUGUGAAUGUUUCAUUAGCAUCAACAUGAAAAUGUAUUAUGUUUUCUGCGAAAUGAGAAAGUGGAUUUUAGCCAAACGGAACUUGAAGAAAGAAAGUUUGUUUUACAGUUUUGGCGUGGAUGCUUGAAUCCGCUACUUGCUUAGAGGAGGACACUCUAGAUAUUUUAUUAUGGUUAAGAGAUAAGCGGGCGAGAGACGCGUUGAUGUGAGUCCAAAGUGUAUGAAAGUUAUGAAAGUUAAGUGAGUGUCUUAUUAAGCUGUAAUUGAAUGAAGGUAGCUUAAGUAAAUGAUUUGAAAGAAAAUAUGAAAGUUUGAAAAUGACAGAAUGAGAUUUUAAAGAUUUGUUUUACAAUGUUUUUGAAUAUCAUUGCACGUCAUCCAUUUACAUUAUAUAUGUGUAUUUCUUUAUAUUUUUUGGUAUAUAAAAAACUGGUAUGUUUAUUGAAUUUCAUACUCUUUAUAGUUUUUUGUGAUUUAGUUCUCAGAAAUCAAGAUUGAUUCCUAAUGAGUGAUGAGAAAAACUUGAAUUAAAGACCGUAGAUGGUUUAUCAUAAAUGUAUAAAUUCUUCCGCUGCAGUGUAAGUAACAUAUUUGUAAUAAGUUAAAGUAAUACUAAUAUUUUAUCCUCCUAAUGAUUUCAAUUUAUCGAAUAAAUAUACAAAUCAUCUUAUAAAAUAAGUCUCUAAUUCUACUUUUAAGUUUUAAAAAAAGAAAAAAAGGUUGAAUUAAGGACAUAUUUGAAAAUAAAAUAAACUUUAUUAUUUAAUAAAAUUAUAAAAACGUAAGGGGUAUAAGCAAAAAUUUCCAGGGUCUAGCCAGGCUUGCCGUCGUAAGCAAAUAUUCGAAUCAAAUCAAAAUUAAAUUUUUUUCCCCUCUCAUUUUAUAGAUAAAUUUUGAUAAUUGGAAAACCAGACUAACGACACAAUGUCUUCAAAACAAACAAAGAAAGAUAGGAAGAAUAAGAAUACAAAUAAGUGAGAUGGGUUUCUUUGAUAGCCAACCGAGAUCAAACAAAGAAAUUGCAAAGGGAGAAUGAAUACAAAUAAAAAAGAUAAGAAGAAUAAGAAGAAUAAUCUAAGUGACCAGAUUUUUUCUUUCCUUGAAAUAUUGUCAUGUCAAUAAUUUUCUCUACUACAAUUCCUACAAUUAAUUGACAUAUGCGUGAAGAAGAAGUGUGUGUGUAUAUAUAUAUAUAUAUAUAUAUAGGAGAUGAUACUAGUAUAAAAUUAUAAACAAAUUAAAUUCUCACCUUAGAAUUUCUUAAAUACCAUGUUUCAAAAUCUCUUAAAAAGUUUUUAAAAAAUUUAAAUUUGAAGAUUUUUCAAAUCCUUUUCCUAAUUUGAGAAGAUAUAUAAGUUUAGUGAAACUUAUUAUUUAAAUCUUUUCCUUUUUUUUCUUUUCCUUGACUAGUUAGGAUAUAGAUCCUUAUAUAAAGACACUUACAUUGAGCUCUCGAGUACUGACCUCGCAAUAAAGUUAACAAAUUAGAAGAAAUUGAGUUCUUGGUUUUCAGUUUUUUCUUGAAUCCUCGAUCAAAAGACUUGAUUAGCAAUGAAGUGCAAGGCAAGUGACUCCGAAGAAGGAUGGGACUAUUUGGAGCGGGGAUUCACAAAAUUGAAGAGGAUUUUCGAAGGAUUGCCGGAGCCAGCCUUUAAUUUGGAGGAUUACAUGAUGCUUUACACAAUCGUAUACAAUAUUUGUUGUAAGCCGGCUCGUCCUCAUCAUGAUGAAGAUCCCGAUCAGAUGUAUGAUAAGUACGAGCAAAUACUUGAGGAUUACAUGCCGUCAAAGGUAUUGCCAUCUUUGAGAGAGAAGCACGAUGAGUAUGAUUUGUUAAGGGAGCUUUUGAAAAGCUGGGCUAAUCAUAAAUUUUUGGCUAAAUGGCUUUCUCGCGUCUUCCUUCCUCUUCAAGCCGGUUAUAUUCCUCGAAUGGCACUUCCUGAACUUAAUGCAUUUGGAAUUUCUUGCUUCCGGGAUCUGGUUUUUGAAGCUAUGAAGGACAAAGUCAAAGAUGCUGUAGUUGCUUUAAUUGAUAGAGAACGCGAGGGAGAAGAGAUUGACAGAACGUUGGUGAAGAAUGUAUUGGAUUUAUUUGUUGAGAUUGAAGUGGGGAAGAUGCAUUGUUACGAAAAGGAUUUUGAAGAACAUAUGCUAGCUUCAGGAUAUGGCGGCUUACUAUUCUCGGAAGGCAUCAAAUUGGAUUCUUCAGGAUUCGUUUGAUUACCUGGUCAAUGUUGGUGAAUGCUUGAAGAACGAAAGAGAGAGAGCCUCUCAUUACCUGCAACCAAGCAGCAAUCGGAAAUUGGCGAACAAAGUAGAACAUCAGUUGUUGGUGGUGCGUUCAGCUCAGCUUCAUGCAAAAAGGAGAAUUUAGAUGCAGACAGUUGCUUAGAGGACAUAAGUUGGAUGGUCAUUCGAUUAUAUGCUGUUAUAGCAAGAAAUCGAAGAAUGAAUUAGCCUUUGAAGAAACAUUGGAGAAGGUUCUUAAGCUGUGAUGCAGACCAAGAAACCCUAAAUUUCCAAAUCAAAUUGAAGUCUAUAAUUUUAUAAUUUCUAUGCCAUUAUUGGCACUGCUGUCAUACUUAUCCCGAUGAGAACGCAUCCAAUGAAAACGUUUUAUAUAUAUUAAUUGAGAAUUUUAGAUAACUCUAGGGGUUAAAAUAAAACUAAAUUAAUUAUGAACAAGGAUCCAAAUCAUCUUCAUGACAAUUAUUCAAAAAAUAUGAAUAAAUUAUCAUAUAUUUGCGCUUUUUUUUCACGACUUCUUCAAGCCUCUCUCUCCCUAACGCCAAUAAUUUUUAGAUUUCUCUCCACCAUUGUAUAUGUGAAGGUUUCACUGUCAAAUUCACUCAUUUUCCUUUCCAUUAAAUUUUGAAUAUAUUUUCAUAAAUCGAAAAUUAGGUAAACCAAUGUGUAUAACAAAAUCUCUCACCCCACCAACUAUUUUCCAUAUUUUUGUCUUUCUGUAUAUAAAAUUCUUGACCAAAAAUAGAGAAUUCACCACCCAAAUCCCAAUGAAGUGGCUAGGAAGAUUUUUUACCCCAACUAAAAUUUUUUAGCCAAGUACAACUUUAAUCUUCGUAUCUAUUAACAAAGGUACAGAUGAGAAAAAAUUCAAGUUUUUUUUUUUCAUUUUUAAACUAAGAACCAAGGCCAAUUAAGUAAAUAACUUUUGUUUCUCUUGCACUGCCCUUUUUCGUUGAUAAAGGACAUCCCUUGAAUUGAUGAAUUUAUGCUUUGUAAUUCUAAUUGUUUGAAUUCCAUCAAGCAAAGCACUAAGCAUUCUAGUGUUUUCAAUAGGCUCAUCCAUUGUUAAACUAAUAUGCGAAUGUAAAUAACUAAAUUAGAAUAAAAUUUAGAUGAUGUUUGUUUUUUAGUUUGAAAUCUGAAUUUAAUUUUUUUAUGACAUUUAUUUAUUUUAGUUUUUUUAAUUUAUCACUUAUUAUAAGACAAUUUUAUCUGAAUAGAAAAAGUAGAAAAAAUCUACUUUUAUAUGAAGUCUGAAGUUUAAAUGGAAAAUUUUAAUUUCAAAUUUCAAAAAUAUCAUUAACAAUUCAUAUAUUUCCAAUAUUAUGUAUACACCUAAUAUUUUUGUAUUUGAAGUGUUUUUAAUUGUUUUAAAUUUUUAUUCACAUGAUAAUAUUAACUAAACUGAAAUAUUGAACAAAUCAAAUUAUGUCCACUGUGAUGAAUCAAAAAUAAAGCAACAGUGAGUUAAUGUUAUAAUUACAUCUUUUAUUACAAAAUUAAAUUAAAAUCAACAAUGAUAUUAUUUUUUUUAAUGCUGCCAAACUAUAUGCGCCACUUAAAAGGAUAUUUAUGUCAAAUUACUAGCUUUUAAAUUUUUCUCUUCAGAUGUUAGAAAAAAAAAUGUCAUUAGAAAAAAAAAUGUCAUUUAGACCUAUUUAGAUUUCAACUAAAUUCAGAUUUAUUCAGAUUUCAGAUAAAAAAAAAAAAAAACGCAACCUUACUUACGCAUUUAUAAAUGUGUGUGUGUGAUAAUGGGUAACUAAAAAAUUAAUCGUUAAUUUUAUUUUGUUAUCUCAAUAUAAUUAGUAGUAGUAGUAGUAAUAGUAGUAGUAGUUGUAAUUGUGGUGAUAAUAAUAAUAAUAAUAAUAAUAAUAAUAAUAAUAAUAAUAAUAAUAAUAAUAAUAAUAAUCUCUUUUCAUUGGAUGAUUUUAUUUCUAAAUUGAUUUUUAUAAUAUAUGGGAGGAUAUAACUGGAAUUAUAUAAGUAUAAAAUUAAUUCUCAAAAUCAUAUUUUGAAAAACUACUUCUUCCCCUUUUUCUUUCCAAAAUCUACCGUAAGGUGAGAUGACUUUUGGGAAAAAUAUUAUCAAACAUCAAGAUUGCAUUUAGUUUCAGUCAAAGUUGAGAUAUGACACUACAAGAAAAUUGGCAAUAGAUGACAGUCACUUUAUCACAUAAAUGAUUUUCUCAUAUAAGUAUGCUAGAUUCGUGAUAGAAUUGUGGUCUAUCAAACGAUUAUUGAUGUACUAGUGAUAUAAUCUUUGUAUAUCAAUAAUUUAUGAUAUAUGUAUGAUAGAAAUUUACUCAGUCACACACAUUAUGAUAGAAAUCUUCUAUUAACCGUGUUUGCCUAAAAUUAAAAGUAUUAUUUUAAUUUUUUGAAAAAGUUAAACACAGAGUUUAACUUGUGAAAUGAUUUUUGAAAAAAAAAAAUAAGAAACAAAACGGUGCAUUUAACCAAAAUCUGAACAAAAAAAAAAAAAAACAAAAAAACAAAACCUAAGUCAUAAAAACUACACAAUGAAGUCAUCACCACUCUCUCACGCGCAAAGACCAUUGAAACCCAAGGCACAAUCAUCGUCACUCUCACUCCACAUUCAGCUCUAAAACCCUAGCCACAUUCAUCGUUAGACCCUCAAUCAAUCAGCCUACAUUCACCAUAGUCAUCCUCACUCUCACUCGGAAAAAGAGAAUUCAAACCCUUGGCACAUUAUCGUCACUGUCACUCUCACAAUGAACGCUUAAAGCCUAGUGAAACUCAUCAUGACACUAUCAAUUGAUAACCUCACUAGCACCACCCAAACCCUAGCUGGCCAAUUGUUUGCUACAUUUAAGUUUUCUAUACAUAAUUGGCCACUACUAGCACGGAGCGAAUGGCAACACCCAGAUAACAGGCCCAUUAAUUGAAAUUGAAAUGGCCACCAUGACCACGAAUGACAAUGGUGCGACGUGAUGUGAACCAUCAACACCCUGACAUCGUUACGCACUAGAGGAUUGCAGCUCUAAACCUUCAAUUCUAGGUUUUGUUCUUCUUCUUCACCUAAUUGUGUUUAAGGCCCCAAGUGAUUGAGUGUAAUUUUGUUUUUUGGAGAGUUUGCGAGCGAGCGACUGAGUGAAUAACAAAAUGAGAUGAUAAGUUUGAUUAAUAAGUUGCUUUAGAUGAUAAAGAUAGAGAGAGUGAAGGUUUUUUUCAUUUGCAAUGUAAAGUUAAUGUAGUUGGAGAUGGGCAGAGAAAGUUGAGACUGUAUAAGGUGUAUGCUCACUUAUCAUUACAUUUCACUAGUCAUAACUCAUCCAUUUCUUCUUAUUAAACAAACAACAACUUUUGCAUAUAUUUCAUGCUUGGAAGUGUAUAUAGAGAUAGAAAAUGGUGUUGCUACAUCAGAUACCCUGCGUUGGAUAUCACAGGGGCCACUUUCUUUUGUGGUUAAACACUCUGGAUAUAACAUUAAUGGUUUCCAUUUUGUAACAAGAGAUCGAGACUCUACUCGUGUUAUUCAAAACAGUGACGUAACUCUAGUUGCAGAAGCUAUGCAUGUUGCUAGUGCAAAAGAUAAAAAUCCUAUAACAUGUGACAUGACAUUUUAUAGAGUUAUAGAUGAAAUAUGGGUUGUUGAUUACCAUUUGUUAAAAAUUCCUCUGCUCAAAAUAGUGGUGGUUUAAAGAAGGAUGAACAUGGAUUCAUCUUGGCGGACCUAAAUCGGUUAGGUUAUAAAUCUAAUCCAUUUAUAUUUGUUUCUUAAGCCAAACAAGUUUUUUAUGUACCUGACCAAGUAAAAAAAAAGUGGUCAGUAAUGUGUCAUAUGCCUACUAGAGGCAAUCUCAACCCUACAAAUGAACAUGAUGCGCAAAAUACAAUUGAGCACCCUCCGUUCACCACUGAAUUACCAACUAAUGAGUUCUUAGAAUCUGCCGACGGUGAAAAUGUAAUCUAUGCACGAAAUUCUAAUGAGGGAAUUUGGAUUAACGAUUGAUAUACCCUUUUACAAAGUUGACAGUAAGUAUCUAUGGACAAAAUUCUAAUUAUUAUUUAUUAUUUGAUUGAAACUAAGCUUUGAAAAUUAUGAUUGUCCAAAUUGUAGCUUUUGGAUGUGUUUGUUUCGUUAACAUGUUCCAAGGUGCUGUGGUUGUUUCUUUUUAUGUUAUGUAUUGGCUCUUUGAGAUGUUAUUUUUUGUUUAUUAAAGUAAAUUGUUAUUUGUAUAUUUCAGGUGAACUUAAAUGGAUAAAGGAAAGGGUACUGCUAAGGAUAAUGUGCUUGAUGAUAACAUUAAUGGUAUGGAUGAUGAUUACAAUGAUAUGCUUGAUUAUGGUGCCAAUCCUAAUGUUCCUUUAAAUGCUAUGGGCUCUAACUUUGAAGAAGAUGAAGAGGACAUGGCGGGUGUUGCUGAUACAAUCGUUGGUAUAGAAGGUGCUACAGACAUUGUUGAAGGUGCUGAUAUGGAUGCUCUAGAGAGUAGUAAUAUGACCUAGAGAGUGAAUAUGGGUGCUAGGCAGAACAAGAAACUACAAACGAGGAAAAGAAGGAUUUUCGAACAAUAUAAUGUAUUGGGCAUUCAUGCUGGUGAUGAAGCCACUAAGCUAGUUUCCUAUCUUAGAGUCUUAGCUCGUACUUUAGUUUCAAUUUUAUUUUUUGGUUGGCAUAAAAUUCCAGCGAAGACGAAGGAGCUUUUAUAGGAAUCCAUUCAAGUAAAUUUCCAAAUUCUUCAAUCUAUUGAUCUUUAAUCAAUUGUUUUGAUCUUGGUAACUAUUGUAACAUCAUAUAUGGUAUUAGGACUGCUUCAUCGGUCAUUCUAAAAGUAAGAAGUAGUUGCUGCAAUCAAUUGGGCGUACAGUUCGUAACUUCAAGUACAUGCUGACAAGAAAGUAUAUUGUGCCACUCGCACGAGACCGGAAGAGACUAUACAAACCUUUAAUUGAUUAUCCCCAAAUCAAGAAACCUAUUUGGAUAAAGUUUUCGAUCAACAUUUAUCAGAUGCCUUUCAAGUUAGUAUCUUUGACUUAGAUUUUCUUACUUGUUCAUAUUUGUUGGACAUAUACCAAUAAACACCUUGGUAUGUUGCAAUUAUUCAGAAAGUCAGUUGUGCAAAUAAGGAGAAAAUAGCCUCCAACAAGUUGAAUCAUCGACUCAGUCGAAGAUGAUAUGUUAGAUUGAUGCAAGAUAUGGUAAGUACAUAAUUGUCAGUUUAUAUUAACUUAAUUUGUUUAAAAUAUUAAUUAUUGAGUGGACUUAAAUAAUACGAUUUUUUUAUCCACUAGUGCUCAGAAACUAGUCUUUCAGAAGACUUAGUAGACAUGAGUGAACUUUGGAAGAGAGCCCGGAGAAUGAAAAAUGGAGGUUACGACCUUGAAACUGAGAAGAUUGUUAUGCAAAUGGUGAGGAGCUUCAAUAAAAUUAAAUAUUCUUUAAUUAGUUUAGCGUUAAUAGAUUACAAUUGUAUGCAAUUUCUAAUUUAUUUUUUAUGGUGAUAAGAAAAGCUCAAAAAAGAGGUUGAGAGAGGCUCCUUGAAGUUAGAUGGAUGAAACGAAAUACUUGCACAAUCAUUGGGAAACCUUCUUCGAACUGGGCAUAUGUAAGGUCUUGGUAAACUUGUAACACCUACCAAAUACUUUCACACAAUUCAUGGGCACAAUAAACAUGCUGUAGAGACUGACAUGCAUGCUGGAAAAAAGCAAUUGAAAGUCAAUUGGAGGAAAUCACCAAACAAUUAAAGAAAACACCUCGCCACUCAGAUGUGGGAAGUUGCACCGCCACUCAGAUAUGGGAAGUUGCACCUUCCUACCUAUUCCUAGCCAUGGUGUUGCUGAUUGCUUGGAAGAAAAGGAUAAUGACAAGGUGGAUGUAGUUGAACAGAAGGUUAGUUACUUUUUUUUUUCCAGCCUUAGUGCAUAUAUUAUGCAAGUAGGUUUAUUGAGUAUAGAUUUUUACCUUUGUAAUUUUUAAGAGCCUCCUAACUUAGAAAACUGAGCUGGCCAAGAGAGGAAAUCCUUACCUAAAAAAAUGGUAGAAAAGCAAGAAAAACUUGAUGAAAAAAAUGAGAGCACACCUAAGAAGAAAAUAGCACUACAAGAAAGCAGGCAAUAGAUGACGGGAAAUAACUGUCAUAAAAAGGGGUGCAUGACAGACACUUCAUCUGUCAUCUAUGUCACUAUCAUUAAUGUAUGACAGAUUAUUUGCUGUCAUAUAUUGACGAUGGUAUUUUAUAGUCAUAUAUCCGUCACGUAAUAUUUUAAUGUGAAAAAAUAAUUAACUUAAAAUUUGAAUUUAUUUAAAAUUUCGCGCCAAAUUUUUGAAUUUUGGCGGGAAAUUUUUAUUGUAAUUGGUAAAUUUUUUAUUCAGUUUUGGCGAGAAAUUAUGUUAUCAUUUGUAAAUUUAUUAUUCAUUUUUUGGCGGGAAAUUGUUUAUGACAGACCAUAUGAUGGGAAUUUCCCGUCAUAAAGUUAAUUUAAAAAAAACUAUUACAAUUAAUUUUUGUAUUCAUGUUACAAAUGUAAUUAAUUAAUAAAAAUGAGUAUCAUAAAAAAAGAAAAAUAAAAAUAAUUAAUAUUAAUUAACAAUUAAAAUUAAUUAAGAUCCACUCAUUCCAACAAGUUAAUUUCAAAAUAAAUACAUCUAGUAUCUAAUAUUGUCAUCACUACCAAUACAUAUAUAAGGAACAUCCGAAAUUUAAAAAAAAAAUUCAUCCAGUUAAACUACAAGAACAGAUUUCCAAAUUCCAGCCACCAAGCCAGUACAUGCAUCAUUCCACACCAGUGGCAUAACGACAACAAGCCAAUACAUCUUUCCACACCAACAAAAACCUCCAGCAGUAAUACAUCUUCUAACUACACGCCACUGCUAUUCCAGCCACUUACCCAACAACACUCCCAACACACAUUCAACAGUAACCCAACAUCUUCCAGCCUAACAUCUGUCCACACCACUAGUAUUCCAGUCACAUAUCCAGUAACCCUCCAAUCGAAACCCAACAAACCAAUACCAAUCUAUUCGGAAUCAAUCAAAAUACCCAAUGUUAUCAAAUGCAAAACACAUACACUACAAUUGUUAACAGUAACCAUUAUAAUUUGACACUAUAACUUUAAUUUCAAUAAAUUUUUACAACUAAUAUUUAUAGUUUCAUA